rnacentral:rRNA from 1 species
CACACUAUCAUUAACUGAAUCCAUAGGUUAAUGAGGCGAACCGGGGGAACUGAAACAUCUAAGUACCCCGAGGAAAAGAAAUCAACCGAGAUUCCCCCAGUAGCGGCGAGCGAACGGGGAGCAGCCCAGAGCCUGAAUCAGUGUGUGUGUUAGUGGAAGCGUCUGGAAAGGCGCGCGAUACAGGGUGACAGCCCCGUACACAAAAAUGCACAUGCUGUGAGCUCGAUGAGUAGGGCGGGACACGUGGUAUCCUGUCUGAAUAUGGGGGGACCAUCCUCCAAGGCUAAAUACUCCUGACUGACCGAUAGUGAACCAGUACCGUGAGGGAAAGGCGAAAAGAACCCCGGCGAGGGGAGUGAAAAAGAACCUGAAACCGUGUACGUACAAGCAGUGGGAGCACGCUUAGGCGUGUGACUGCGUACCUUUUGUAUAAUGGGUCAGCGACUUAUAUUCUGUAGCAAGGUUAACCGAAUAGGGGAGCCGAAGGGAAACCGAGUCUUAACUGGGCGUUAAGUUGCAGGGUAUAGACCCGAAACCCGGUGAUCUAGCCAUGGGCAGGUUGAAGGUUGGGUAACACUAACUGGAGGACCGAACCGACUAAUGUUGAAAAAUUAGCGGAUGACUUGUGGCUGGGGGUGAAAGGCCAAUCAAACCGGGAGAUAGCUGGUUCUCCCCGAAAGCUAUUUAGGUAGCGCCUCGUGAAUUCAUCUCCGGGGGUAGAGCACUGUUUCGGCAAGGGGGUCAUCCCGACUUACCAACCCGAUGCAAACUGCGAAUACCGGAGAAUGUUAUCACGGGAGACACACGGCGGGUGCUAACGUCCGUCGUGAAGAGGGAAACAACCCAGACCGCCAGCUAAGGUCCCAAAGUCAUGGUUAAGUGGGAAACGAUGUGGGAAGGCCCAGACAGCCAGGAUGUUGGCUUAGAAGCAGCCAUCAUUUAAAGAAAGCGUAAUAGCUCACUGGUCGAGUCGGCCUGCGCGGAAGAUGUAACGGGGCUAAACCAUGCACCGAAGCUGCGGCAGCGACACUAUGUGUUGUUGGGUAGGGGAGCGUUCUGUAAGCCUGUGAAGGUGUACUGUGAGGUAUGCUGGAGGUAUCAGAAGUGCGAAUGCUGACAUAAGUAACGAUAAAGCGGGUGAAAAGCCCGCUCGCCGGAAGACCAAGGGUUCCUGUCCAACGUUAAUCGGGGCAGGGUGAGUCGACCCCUAAGGCGAGGCCGAAAGGCGUAGUCGAUGGGAAACAGGUUAAUAUUCCUGUACUUGGUGUUACUGCGAAGGGGGGACGGAGAAGGCUAUGUUGGCCGGGCGACGGUUGUCCCGGUUUAAGCGUGUAGGCUGGUUUUCCAGGCAAAUCCGGAAAAUCAAGGCUGAGGCGUGAUGACGAGGCACUACGGUGCUGAAGCAACAAAUGCCCUGCUUCCAGGAAAAGCCUCUAAGCAUCAGGUAACAUCAAAUCGUACCCCAAACCGACACAGGUGGUCAGGUAGAGAAUACCAAGGCGCUUGAGAGAACUCGGGUGAAGGAACUAGGCAAAAUGGUGCCGUAACUUCGGGAGAAGGCACGCUGAUAUGUAGGUGAAGUCCCUCGCGGAUGGAGCUGAAAUCAGUCGAAGAUACCAGCUGGCUGCAACUGUUUAUUAAAAACACAGCACUGUGCAAACACGAAAGUGGACGUAUACGGUGUGACGCCUGCCCGGUGCCGGAAGGUUAAUUGAUGGGGUCAGCGCAAGCGAAGCUCUUGAUCGAAGCCCCGGUAAACGGCGGCCGUAACUAUAACGGUCCUAAGGUAGCGAAAUUCCUUGUCGGGUAAGUUCCGACCUGCACGAAUGGCGUAAUGAUGGCCAGGCUGUCUCCACCCGAGACUCAGUGAAAUUGAACUCGCUGUGAAGAUGCAGUGUACCCGCGGCAAGACGGAAAGACCCCGUGAACCUUUACUAUAGCUUGACACUGAACAUUGAGCCUUGAUGUGUAGGAUAGGUGGGAGGCUUUGAAGUGUGGACGCCAGUCUGCAUGGAGCCGACCUUGAAAUACCACCCUUUAAUGUUUGAUGUUCUAACGUUGACCCGUGAUCCGGGUUGCGGACAGUGUCUGGUGGGUAGUUUGACUGGGGCGGUCUCCUCCUAAAGAGUAACGGAGGAGCACGAAGGUUGGCUAAUCCUGGUCGGACAUCAGGAGGUUAGUGCAAUGGCAUAAGCCAGCUUGACUGCGAGCGUGACGGCGCGAGCAGGUGCGAAAGCAGGUCAUAGUGAUCCGGUGGUUCUGAAUGGAAGGGCCAUCGCUCAACGGAUAAAAGGUACUCCGGGGAUAACAGGCUGAUACCGCCCAAGAGUUCAUAUCGACGGCGGUGUUUGGCACCUCGAUGUCGGCUCAUCACAUCCUGGGGCUGAAGUAGGUCCCAAGGGUAUGGCUGUUCGCCAUUUAAAGUGGUACGCGAGCUGGGUUUAGAACGUCGUGAGACAGUUCGGUCCCUAUCUGCCGUGGGCGCUGGAGAACUGAGGGGGGCUGCUCCUAGUACGAGAGGACCGGAGUGGACGCAUCACUGGUGUUCGGGUUGUCAUGCCAAUGGCACUGCCCGGUAGCUAAAUGCGGAAGAGAUAAGUGCUGAAAGCAUCUAAGCACGAAACUUGCCCCGAGAUGAGUUCUCCCUGACUCCUUGAGAGUCCUGAAGGAACGUUGAAGACGACGACGUUGAUAGGCCGGGUGUGUAAGCGCAGCGAUGCGUUGAGCUAACCGGUACUAAUGAACCGUGAGGCUUAACCUUACAACGCCGAAGGUGUUU